AGUGAACGCUGGCGGUAGGCCUAACACAUGCAAGUCGAACGGCAGCACAGUAAGAGCUUGCUCUUACGGGUGGCGAGUGGCGGACGUGUGAGGAAUACAUCGGAAUCUACUUUUUCGUGGGGGAUAACGUAGGUAAACUUACGCUAAUACCGCAUACGACCUUCGGGUGAAAGCAUGGGAUCUUCGGACCUUGCGCGAUUGAAUGCGCCGAUGUCGGAUUUGCUAGUUGGCGGGGUAAAGGCCCACCAAGGCGACGAUCCGUAGCUGGUCUGAGAGGAUGAUCAGCCACACUGGAACUGAGACACGGACCAGACUACUAAGGGAGGCAGCAGUGGGGAAUAUUGGACAAUAGGCGGAAGCCUGAUCCAACCAUACCGAGUGGGUGAAAGAGGCCUUCGGGUUGUAAAGACCUUUUGUUGGGAAAGAAAAGCAGCAGGUUAAUACCACGCUGUUCUGACGGUAACCAAAGAAUAAGCACCGGCUAACUUCGUG
rnacentral:rRNA from 1 species